GGGCCGGUAGCUCAGUGGUAGAGCAGCGGGCUCUUAACCCGUUGGUCGGGGGUUCAAAUCCCUCUCGGCUCA
rnacentral:tRNA from 1 species